rnacentral:rRNA from 1 species
ACGGGUGAGUAACGCGUGGGAAUCUACCUUUUGCUACGGAAUAACUCAGGGAAACUUGUGCUAAUACCGUAUGUGCCCUUCGGGGGAAAGAUUUAUCGGCAAGAGAUGAGCCCGCGUUGGAUUAGCUAGUUGGUGGGGUAAAGGCCUACCAAGGCGACGAUCCAUAGCUGGUCUGAGAGGAUGAUCAGCCACACUGGGACUGAGACACGGCCCAGACUCCUACGGGAGGCAGCAGUGGGGAAUAUUGGACAAUGGGCGCAAGCCUGAUCCAGCCAUGCCGCGUGAGUGAUGACGGUCUUAGGAUUGUAAAGCUCUUUCACCGGUGAAGAUAAUGACGGUAACCGGAGAAGAAGCCCCGGCUAACUUCGUGCCAGCAGCCGCGGUUAUACGAAGGGGGCUAGCGUUGUUCGGAUUUACUGGGCGUAAAGCGCACGUAGGCGGACUUUUAAGUCAGGGGUGAAAUCCCAGAGCUCAACUCUGGAACUGCCUUUGAUACUGGAAGUCUUGAGUAUGGUAGAGGUGAGUGGAAUUCCGAGU